rnacentral:lncRNA from 1 species
CUUCAACCCACCCUCCCCCAACAUGCAUGCCUCAGUACUCUCGUUGUUUACUUUGCCUCAGGAAUUCAGCAACUAGACAACCCAAUUUUACAAGAUUAUCUUAUUUCUCAAGAAGUUCACCAAGUGUUCCAAAACUUCCUGCCAGAGCAACGAAGAAAAAAAGAGAAAGGUGGAAGAGGCAGAGAAAGGAGUAAGAGAAGCGACAGAAGGAAGAGAGUAAGCGAGAGAAGGGCAUGAUCUCGUUGGACAUCAUAUUGCUGGUCUGUUCAAGGAAGAUGCGGGACCAAUGCACGCAGAACGCAUGUCAAACUGAGAUUCAAACAUCACUUCAAAGAAAUACAUGCACCCCUGUUUAUUGCAGUAUUAUUUACAACAGCCAAGCUAUGGAAGCAGCCCAAGUGCCCAUCAAUAGAUGC